UAACGUAGCGAAAGUUACGCUAAUACGCAUACGCACUAAAGGUGGAAAGUGGGGGGAGUCUUCGGACCUCAUGCUCAUGGAGUGGCCGAUAUCUGAUUAGCUAGUUGGUGAGGUAAAGGCUCACCAAGGCGACGAUCAGUAGCUGGUUUGAGAGAACGACCAGCCACACUGGAACUGAGACACGGUCCAGACUCCUACGGGAGGCAGCAGUGGGGAAUUUUGGACAAUGGGGGCAACCCUGAUCCAGCAAUGCCGCGUGAGUGAAGAAGGCCUUCGGGUUGUAAAGCUCUUUUGUCAGGGAAGAAACGGUGAGUUCUAAUAAAGCUUGCUAAUGACGGUACCUGAAGAAUAAGCACCGGCUAACUACGUG
rnacentral:rRNA from 1 species